rnacentral:rRNA from 1 species
GAUCAUGGCUCAGGAUGAACGCUAGCGACAGGCUUAACACAUGCAAGUCGAGGGGCAUCAUGAGGUAGCAAUACCUUGAUGGCGACCGGCGCACGGGUGAGUAACGCGUAUGCAACCUGCCCGAUACCGGGGUAUAGCCCAUGGAAACGUGGAUUAAUACCGGAUAGUAUCGAGAGAUUGCAUGAUAACCCGAUUAAAGAUUUAUCGGUAACGGAUGGGGAUGCGUUCCAUUAGA